rnacentral:rRNA from 1 species
GGUUAAGUUAGAAAGGGCGCACGGUGGAUGCCUUGACACUAGGAGUCGAUGAAGGACGGGACUAACGCCGAUAUGCUUCGGGGAGCUGUAAGUAAGCUUUGAUCCGAAGAUUUCCGAAUGGGGAAACCCACCAUACGUAAUGGUAUGGUAUCCUUAUCUGAAUACAUAGGGUAAGGAAGACAGACCCAGGGAACUGAAACAUCUAAGUACCUGGAGGAAGAGAAAGCAAAUGCGAUUUCCUGAGUAGCGGCGAGCGAAACGGAACAUAGCCCAAACCAAGAGGCUUGCCUCUUGGGGUUGUAGGACAUUCUAUACGGAGUUACAAAGGAACGAGGUAGACGAAGCGACCUGGAAAGGUCCGUCGUAGAGGGUAACAACCCCGUAGUCGAAACUUCGUUCUCUCUUGAAUGUAUCCUGAGUACGGCGGAACACGUGAAAUUCCGUCGGAAUCUGGGAGGACCAUCUCCCAAGGCUAAAUACUCCCUAGUGAUCGAUAGUGAACCAGUACCGUGAGGGAAAGGUGAAAAGCACCCCGGAAGGGGAGUGAAAGAGAUCCUGAAACCGUGUGCCUACAAAUAGUCAGAGCCCGUUAACGGGUGAUGGCGUGCCUUUUGUAGAAUGAACCGGCGAGUUACGAUCCCGUGCGAGGUUAAGCUGAAGAGGCGGAGCCGCAGCGAAAGCGAGUCUGAAUAGGGCGUUUAGUACGUGGUCGUAGACCCGAAACCAGGUGAUCUACCCAUGUCCAGGGUGAAGUUCAGGUAACACUGAAUGGAGGCCCGAACCCACGCACGUUGAAAAGUGCGGGGAUGAGGUGUGGGUAGCGGAGAAAUUCCAAUCGAACCUGGAGAUAGCUGGUUCUCCCCGAAAUAGCUUUAGGGCUAGCCUUAAGUGUAAGAGUCUUGGAGGUAGAGCACUGAUUGGACUAGGGGUCCUCAUCGGAUUACCGAAUUCAGUCAAACUCCGAAUGCCAAUGACUUAUCCUUAGGAGUCAGACUGCGAGUGAUAAGAUCCGUAGUCAAAAGGGAAACAGCCCAGACCGCCAGCUAAGGUCCCAAAGUGUGUAUUAAGUGGAAAAGGAUGUGGAGUUGCUUAGACAACUAGGAUGUUGGCUUAGAAGCAGCCACCAUUUAAAGAGUGCGUAAUAGCUCACUAGUCGAGUGACUCUGCGCCGAAAAUGUACCGGGGCUAAAUACACCACCGAAGCUGCGGAUUGAUACCGAAUGGUAUCAGUGGUAGGGGAGCGUUCUAAGGACAGUGAAGUCAGACCGGAAGGACUGGUGGAGUGCUUAGAAGUGAGAAUGCCGGUAUGAGUAGCGAAAGACGGGUGAGAAUCCCGUCCACCGAAUGCCUAAGGUUUCCUGAGGAAGGCUCGUCCGCUCAGGGUUAGUCAGGACCUAAGCCGAGGCCGACAGGCGUAGGCGAUGGACAACAGGUUGAUAUUCCUGUACCACCUCUUUAUCGUUUGAGCAAUGGAGGGACGCAGAAGGAUAGAAGAAGCGUGCGAUUGGUUGUGCACGUCCAAGCAGUUAGGCUGAUAAGUAGGCAAAUCCGCUUAUCGUGAAGGCUGAGCUGUGAUGGGGAAGCUCCUUAUGGAGCGAAGUCUUUGAUUCCCCGCUGCCAAGAAAAGCUUCUAGCGAGAUAAAAGGUGCCUGUACCGCAAACCGACACAGGUAGGCGAGGAGAGAAUCCUAAGGUGUGCGAGAGAACUCUGGUUAAGGAACUCGGCAAAAUGACCCCGUAACUUCGGGAGAAGGGGUGCUUUCUUAACGGAAAGCCGCAGUGAAUAGGCCCAAGCGACUGUUUAGCAAAAACACAGCUCUCUGCGAAGCCGUAAGGCGAAGUAUAGGGGGUGACACCUGCCCGGUGCUGGAAGGUUAAGGAGAGGGGUUAGCGUAAGCGAAGCUCUGAACUGAAGCCCCAGUAAACGGCGGCCGUAACUAUAACGGUCCUAAGGUAGCGAAAUUCCUUGUCGGGUAAGUUCCGACCCGCACGAAAGGUGUAACGAUUUGGGCACUGUCUCAACCAGAGACUCGGUGAAAUUAUAGUACCUGUGAAGAUGCAGGUUACCCGCGACAGGACGGAAAGACCCCGUGGAGCUUUACUGUAGCCUGAUAUUGAAUUUUGGUACAGUUUGUACAGGAUAGGCGGGAGCCUUUGAAACCGGAGCGCUAGCUUCGGUGGAGGCGCUGGUGGGAUACCGCCCUGACUGUAUUGAAAUUCUAACCUACGGGUCUUAUCGACCCGGGAGACAGUGUCAGGUGGGCAGUUUGACUGGGGCGGUCGCCUCCUAAAGUGUAACGGAGGCGCCCAAAGGUUCCCUCAGAAUGGUUGGAAAUCAUUCGUAGAGUGCAAAGGCAUAAGGGAGCUUGACUGCGAGACCUACAAGUCGAGCAGGGACGAAAGUCGGGCUUAGUGAUCCGGUGGUUCCGCAUGGAAGGGCCAUCGCUCAACGGAUAAAAGCUACCCCGGGGAUAACAGGCUUAUCUCCCCCAAGAGUCCACAUCGACGGGGAGGUUUGGCACCUCGAUGUCGGCUCAUCGCAUCCUGGGGCUGUAGUCGGUCCCAAGGGUUGGGCUGUUCGCCCAUUAAAGCGGUACGCGAGCUGGGUUCAGAACGUCGUGAGACAGUUCGGUCCCUAUCCGUCGUGGGCGUAGGAAAUUUGAGAGGAGCUGUCCUUAGUACGAGAGGACCGGGAUGGACAUACCUCUGGUGUACCAGUUGUCGUGCCAACGGCAUAGCUGGGUAGCUAUGUAUGGACGGGAUAAGUGCUGAAAGCAUCUAAGCAUGAAGCCCCCCUCAAGAUGAGAUUUCCCAACUUCGGUUAUAAGAUCCCUCAAAGAUGAUGAGGUUAAUAGGUUCGAGGUGGAAGCGUGGUGACACGUGGAGCUGACGAAUACUAAUCGAUCGAAGACUUAAUCAA